AGUGAACGCUGGCGGUAGGCCUAACACAUGCAAGUCGAACGGCAGCACAGUAAGAGCUUGCUCUUACGGGUGGCGAGUGGCGGACGGGUGAGGAAUACAUCGGAAUCUACUUUUUCGUGGGGGAUAACGUAGGGAAACUUACGCUAAUACCGCAUACGACCUACGGGUGAAAGCAGGGGAUCUUCGGACCUUGCGCGAUUGAAUGAGCCGAUGUCGGAUUAGCUAGUUGGCGGGGUAAAGGCCCACCAAGGCGACGAUCCGUAGCUGGUCUGAGAGGAUGAUCAGCCACACUGGAACUGAGACACGGUCCAGACUCCUACGGGAGGCAGCAGUGGGGAAUAUUGGACAAGGGGCGCAAGCCUGAUCCAGCCAUACCGGGUGGGGGAAGAAGGCCUUCGGGUUGUAAAGCCCUUUUGUUGGGAAAGAAAAGCAGCAGGUUAAUACCCCGCUGUUCUGACGGUACCAAAAGAAUAAGCACCGGCUAACUUCGU
rnacentral:rRNA from 1 species